UUUUUUUUUUAACAGAAUAUAUCCUAUUUUACACAGUAGGAGCGUAGAGGUCCAGCAGGAUCCGCAUACUAAUCCCUCCAUCCCCAACGCCACAAAGCCGACAUCUUUCUCUCAUCAUAAACCUUUCUUCCAUAGCCGAACACGCUCACUUCCCCAGACCAUCUUCCAUAGUCGAAUACGGUAGCAGGCAACAAUGGGUGGAGUGAUAAAGAAGUUUUUCGUUGGAUUGCUCCUGUUGCAAUUUUGUAUGGUUUUAACCAUAAUUUGCUUCCUGGUUCAACCCACUUGUCUCCCUAUUCUUUGACACUGGUGAGUGGCUUCCUUGCUGUCAUCUCAGUCAACGUGGUUAUUGCAUUCUAUAUAUACAUGGCGAUGAAGGAACCAUCAGAUAAACAUGAGCCGGAGGCCCGGAACCUGCAUUCCUUGCUGAAGCCGAAGCUAGUGUCAGUCGGUCCACAAAUCAAGCUGAGGAUUCUUCUCAGUCCGGAAAGAAACAAGAUUAGUUUAAGCUCAAGCCUUUCUCAUGUACCAAAAAGAAGUGAAAAUGAGGAGCGACUAGAUAAUUGUUAGGAUUCCUCAUGAUGAAAUUUUCAUGUUUUAUAUAAUAUUGCGAAUAUUAUAA